AUUGAACGCUGGCGGCAUGCCUUACACAUGCAAGUCGAACGGUAACAGGUCUUCGGAUGCUGACGAGUGGCGAACGGGUGAGUAAUACAUCGGAACGUGCCUAGUAGUGGGGGAUAACUACUCGAAAGAGUGGCUAAUACCGCAUGAGAUCUACGGAUGAAAGCAGGGGAUCGCAAGACCUUGUGCUACUAGAGCGGCCGAUGGCAGAUUAGGUAGGUGGGGGGAUAAAAGCUUACCAAGCCGACGAUCUGUAGCUGGUCUGCGAGGACGAUCGACAACACUGGGAAUGAGACACGGCCCAGACUCCGACGGGAGGCAGCAGUGGGUAAUUUUGGACAAUGGGCGCAAGCCUGAUCCAGCAAUGCCGCGUGCAGGAUGAAGGCCUUCGGGUUGUAAACUGCUUUUGUACGGAACGAAAAGCCCCGGGUUAAUACCCUGGGGUCAUGACGGUACCGUAAGAAUAAGCACCGGCUAACUACGUGCCAGCAGCCGCCGUAA
rnacentral:rRNA from 1 species